rnacentral:rRNA from 1 species
AUUGAACGCUGGCGGCAUGCCUUACACAUGCAAGUCGAACGGCAGCACGGGGGCAACCCUGGUGGCGAGUGGCGAACGGGUGGGUAAUGCAUCGGAACGUGCCCAGUAGUGGGGGAUAACCAGUCGAAAGACUGGCUAAUACCGCAUACGACCUACGGGUGAAAGCGGGGGACCGUAAGGCCUCGCGCUAUUGGAGCGGCCGAUGUCUGAUUAGCUAGUUGGCGGGGUAAGAGCCCACCAAGGCGACGAUCAGUAGCUGGUCUGAGAGGACGACCAGCCACACUGGGACUGAGACACGGCCCAGACUCCUACGGGAGGCAGCAGUGGGGAAUUUUGGACAAUGGGCGAAAGCCUGAUCCAGCCAUGCCGCGUGCGGGAAGAAGGCCUUCGGGUUGUAAACCGCUUUUGGCAGGAACGAAACGGCGCGAGCCAAUACCUCGCGCUAAUGACGGUACCUGCAGAAUAAGCACCGGCUAACUACGUGCCAGCAGCCGCGGUAAUACGUAGGGUGCAAGCGUUAAUCGGAAUUACUGGGCGUAAAGCGUACGCAGGCGGCUUUGCAAGACAGGUGUGAAAUCCCCGGGCCUAACCUGGGAACUGCAUUUGUGACUGCAUCGCUAGAGUCUGUCAGAGGGGGGUGGAAUUCCACGUGUAGCAGUGAAAUGCGUAGAGAUGUGGAAGAACACCGAUGGCGAAGGCAGCCCCCUGGGAUGAGACUGACGCUCAUGUACGAAAGCGUGGGGAGCAAACAGGAU